GUCGCUUUAGCUCACUUGGGAGAGCGCCAGACUGAAGCAAUCCGCUCCGGCGGCAAACUUCGGUUCCACCGAACCAUCAGUGUGAUCUGGAGGUACUGUGUUCGAUCCACAGAAGCGACA